GACGAACGCUGGCGGCGUGCCUAACACAUGCAAGUCGAGCGGGGUUGAAGCGAGGGGUAACUCGAGUUUCUACCUAGCGGCGGACGGGUGAGUAACGCGUGGGCAACCUGCCUCAAGGACUGGGAUAACAGCUCGAAAGGGCUGCUAAUACCGGAUAAGCCCAUGGCCUCGCAUGGGGCCAUGAGCAAAGGGGAAACCCGCCUUGAGAUGGGCCCGCGUCCCAUCAGCUAGUUGGUGAGGUGAAGGCUCACCAAGGCGACGACGGGUAGCCGGCCUGAGAGGGUGACCGGCCACACUGGGACUGAGACACGGCCCAGACUCCUACGGGGGCAGCAGUGGGGAAUCUUGCACAAUGGGCGAAAGCCUGAUGCAGCGACGCCGCGUGAGCGAAGAAGGCCUUCGGGUUGUAAAGCUCUGUCUGGAGGGACGAAGGAAGUGACGGUACCUCCGGAGGAAGCCACGGCUAACUACGUG
rnacentral:rRNA from 1 species